rnacentral:lncRNA from 1 species
UGUGAUUUGGAGUUUCAUAAAUAAGGUCAGUCCUAUAUCUUUCUUUAUUAACUUUGCAAUAACUGUCCUAUAGUUCAUAUUUUACACGUAUGCAUGUUGAGAUUGAAUGUCGAGAACGAGAGCUAAAUUUCAUAACAAAAGAGAACGUAAAUAUAUAUUAAAACAUAAGAAGAGUUGAAUUUUACGAUCAUAUAAAAUAAUACUUCAAUAGCCUAUUAAAUCUGGUAUAAUGAUUUGUAGAUAAAGUUUACAUAUAACUUGAAUGAAUGCGAGUGUCGAGUGGACCGAAAGAAUGUUGUAAUGUUUAAAGGUUAAUCGAAUUAAAGUAAAUCGAUAUAAGAACUAAAAAUAGAUAUCUAGGUUAAUAUUGAUUUUUACUAUAAACAAUAAACAUUGCUUAACAAAGAUUUAUAAUAAACAUUUUUGUUAUACAGGUAUAUUUAAACCUUACUGUAUUAAAGAUGUAGUGUGUAAUAUGGUUUAUAUGGAAAUGUGCCACUUGCACGAUAUGUGAGGUAAGCUAAGUGUAUUUGUAUUCUUGUUUCGCUUAGCUUUAGUUUUUUUAUAUUUGCUUUGCUUUUAUUGUUACUUUUGUGAUUAGUUGCUUUUUGAUUUAACAAGCAUGCAGCUUACAUUUUGUGUAGUUUAGAUUACCAACACAAGUAUUAUUUAAUAGACUUUGGUAUGAGACAGCAUAUGAGAACAUGUAAUACAUUAACUUAAAGUCGAAUUGGUAUAAUUGUAAUUGAGACAAGUAAUUGCUAUGGUAUCCACAUUAUAUAUUUUUGUGAUCAGAUACAUAUGUAUGCAGCUAAAUAAGUUUGCAUGAUAAUGAAUUACGAACAUUAGUUUUAAUUAUUAUUACUUAGUAAACAGAUUUAUCUUUCUGUAAUUUAUAAGUACAUUUAUAUUUUACAGGGCUUUAUUUACAUUACCAUUAUUGAACUUCGUUAGUCUGAAAUAAAAGUUACAGAACCCUAUUCAGAAGUUUAGUUAUCAUUUACUAAAAGCCUCAAGAAACCGGCUUUUACAUAAGCAAUAAUUGUAU